CAAGGAAUAGUUUAGCGUAGAAUGCUGGCUUUGGGAGUCAGUGGUGAAGGUUAGAAUCCUUUUUCCUUGA
rnacentral:tRNA from 1 species